rnacentral:rRNA from 1 species
GACGAACGCUGGCGGCGUGCCUAAUACAUGCAAGUCGAACGCAGUGGGGACGGGUGCGUAACACGUGGGUAACCUCCCAUCAGAGGGGAUAACACUUGGAAACAGGUGCUAAACCGAUACUGAUGGAUGGACCCGCGGUGCAUUAGCUAGUUGGUGAGGUAACGGCUCACCAAGGCCACGAUGCAUAGCCGGCCUGAGAGGGUGAUCGGCCACAAGGGGACUGAGACACGGCCCAGACGCCUACGGGAGGCAGCAGUAGGGAAUAUUCGGCAAUGGACGAAAGUCUGACCGAGCAACGCCGCGUGAGUGAAGAAGGUUUUCGGAUCGUAAAACACUGUUGGUAGAGAAGCGGUAUCUAACCAGAAAGCAACGGCUAACUACGUGCCAGCAGCCGCGGUAAUAC